rnacentral:rRNA from 1 species
GACAGAGGUGCCAAGCGUUAGGCGGAAUUACUGGGCGUAAAGCGUGCGCAGGCGGUCUGUCGCGUCGGAUGUGAAAGCCCGGGGCUUAACCCCGGGUCUGCAUUCGAUACGGGCAGACUAGAGUGUGGUAGGGGAGAUCGGAAUUCCUGGUGUAGCGGUGAAAUGCGCAGAUAUCAGGAGGAACACCGGUGGCGAAGGCGGAUCUCUGGGCCAUUACUGACGCUGAGGAGCGAAAGCGUGGGGAGCGAACAGG